ACAAGGAACAUGUCAACAGCUGGGCUUGGGGUUUGAGGAACAGAGCCGCUGCGAUUGGAACAGAGCCCGGCCACCCUGUUCCACCACUGUCCACGCCGUAGCUCCCAGCCUGCCGCCGCGCGGUGCCCGAACACGGGAGGGCACCUCCUCCCAGAUCCGGGGCGCAGAAGCCCCGCGGAGGCAGGGAAGUUCCUGGGCUUUGCUCCAAAGCUGCCCCGGAAUGUUUUGGUUGGUUUGGAGAAAAGCUGUGGCGUCUACACCACUUGUUCCAAGCAGGCGGCCCCCUGGUGGCUAACUGGGGGUGAAAAAGCUGGCCAGUGAGGAGGAAGUCUGGCGCAGGUAGGCCCCAACAGUUGACAACCUAGUCUUCGGGUCUUCUUCACAGCGUUUGUACAACUUAGUAUUACCGCGGGGAGGUUGCGGGGGUGAGGUGAAGCAAAUCUUCCUUCAACACGGUGGAUCAUAGGCUUCUCGGCCUACUGGAACUUUUAAUUUUUUUCUCUUCCUGAGUAUAACUUGGAGCUAAAUUAUUUAAGAAGGAGACAUACAGAGGACAAAAUGAAAUGUAACAAAAACUGUUGCUUCUCUUUGUUCAAGGGCUUUGUCUUUCUGAUCUCAUUUUGCCCAGAAAAUUCAGAAAUGAGCCAGUUAAAGCAUGAAAUAAAUAAAGGGUGUGGCAUUACUCAAACA
rnacentral:lncRNA from 1 species